rnacentral:rRNA from 1 species
CCCUAUGGGUUGUAAACUUCUUUUAUACGGGAAUAAAGUUAGCCACGUGUGGCUUUUUGUAUGUACCGUAUGAAUAAGGAUCGGCUAACUCCGUGCCAGCAGCCGCGGUAAUACGGAGGAUCCGAGCGUUAUCCGGAUUUAUUGGGUUUAAAGGGAGCGUAGGCGGGUUGUUAAGUCAGUUGUGAAAGUUUGCGGCUCAACCGUAAAAUUGCAGUUGAUACUGGCGACCUUGAGUGCAACAGAGGUAGGCGGAAUUCGUGGUGUAGCGGUGAAAUGCUUAGAUAUCACGAAGAACUCCGAUUGCGAAGGCAGCUUACUGGAUUGUAACUGACGCUGAUGCUCGAAAGUGUGGGUAUCAAACAGGAUUAGAUACCCUGGUAGUCCACACAGUAAACGAUGAAUACUCGCUGUUGGCGAUAUACGGUCAGCGGCCAAGCGAAAGCAUUAAGUAUUCCACCUGGGGAGUACGCCGGCAACGGUGAAACUCAAAGGAAUUGACGGGGGCCCGCACAAGCGGAGGAACAUGUGGUUUAAUUCGAUGAUACGCGAGGAACCUUACCCGGGCUUAAAUUGCAACUGACUGAACCGGAAACGGUUCUUUCUUCGGACAGUUGUGAAGGUGCUGCAUGGUUGUCGUCAGC